ACAUUGGUGGUUCAGUGGUAGAAUUCUCUCCUUUCAUGUGGGAGACCUGGGUUCGAUUCCUGGCCAUUGUA
rfam:Loxodonta africana unplaced genomic scaffold scaffold_4, whole genome shotgun sequence.